CCUUGAACACCACACCCCAGCUGAGGGCUCAGAGCAGAGCCUGGCAGCCUCACCAUGGCCUGGACCCUCCUGCUCCCCCUCCUCACACUCUGCACAGGUCCCGUGGCCUCUUCAGUAGUGACUCAGCCCCCAGCAGUGUCUGUGGCCCCGGGAGAGACGGCCAGGAUCACCUGCCAGGGAGAACUCCUAACAAAAUAUUAUCCAACCUGGCAGCAGCAGAAGCUCGGCCAGGCCCCGGUGGUGGUCAUGUAUGGUAACAACAACCGACCCUCAGGGAUCCCUGAGCGAUUCUCUUGCUCUCACUCAGGGGACACGAACACCCUGACCAUCAGCGGGGCCCAGGCCCAGGACGAGGCCGACUAUUACUGUUCGGUGUGGGACAACAGUGCUAAAGCUCACAGUGACACAGGCGGAUGGGGAAGUGGGACAGAAACCUCCCUGUGUCACCCUCUCCUCCAGCCCCGAGGGCUGCAGACCGAGCCCUGAGCACGGCUGCCCGUCUGUGUGGAGCGAGAGCAGGGGCAGCUUUGGGCGCCUGUGGACGAUCCCACAUGGAGCCCUGUCAGCCAUGGGUCCUGUCCGGGAGCAGGAGGCCCAUGAGGAGUGUGGGUGCAUCGGGGCGGCCCCCGGGAGGGGCCUGGACACCGUGAGCGGGAACGUCUGUAACAGCGGCCACACCGGCUCCUCAGUGACCCUUCCAUGU